rnacentral:rRNA from 1 species
AUUGAACGCUGGCGGCAGGCCUAACACAUGCACGUCGAGCGGAGCGGCGAACGGGUGAGUAAUGCCUAGGAAUCUGCCUGGUAUUGGGGGAUAACGUCCGGAAACUGGCGCUAAUACCGCAUACUAUCAGAUGAGCCUAGGUCGGAUUGGCUAGUUGGUGGGGUAAAGGCCUACCAAGGCGACGAUCCGUAACUGGUCGGAGAGGAUGAUCAGUCACCUGUGAACUGAGACACGGUCCAGACUCCUGCGGGAGGCAGCAGUGGGGAAUAUUGGACAAUGGGCGAAAGCCUGUUCCAGCCAUGCCGCGUGUGUGAAGAAGGUCUUCGGAUUGUAAAGCACUUUAAGUUGGGAGGCGUUUCCAUCAGAAUAAGCACCGGCUAACUUCGUGCCAGCAGCCGCGGUAAUUC